GCCUGGGUGGCUCAGUCAGUUGAGCAUCUGACUUCGGCUCAGGUCAUGAUCUCACAGUUUGUGGGUUUGAGCCCUGCAUCAGGCU
rnacentral:tRNA from 1 species